CUGUCUAUUUAACCAUGCGUGUCCCUUUUGGCUUUGUAGGUCCGUUAAUUAGUGGUGGUGAGGUUUGGUCGCCCUUUCCUGCGACCUGAGUUUUUGCCACCGUACUUUCCUCCACAAAAAAGACUGCUAAAUGUUGUUACGGCCUGCCUAUGCCUAGGGGUGCACAGGUGUAACACAAAAAUGUUGGAUAAAAGGGUAGGCUUGCCAAAAGAUGGAACGGCAGAGAUGAAUAAAGCGUGCGUAAAGUUUCAACAAAAGUAAAAACAAUUUAUUAACAACCUAUUCAUCACAAAAAGGCAACUCAAAGGAAACAAAAGCAUCAGGGUCUCCAAGGCCAAAACAAUAAACAAAACCACCCCCCUAGCUAGAAAACAAAAGGUGUUCAGACCUACUGGGGGACAAGGAAAGACAAUACUGACCUCCCCUUUAUCCACAAAACAGGAGAAAAAGCAGUAACAGAAAUGGCAGCGAACCCCUACACAAUGGUGGUCGGUACGCAGACUCUAGACACAAACAGAAAAGAGAGACUGCUUAACACUGGAUCCGGGAGCCUUUAUGUGGCCCACUAAUGGCCUGAGGUCUCUCAGGUGGUGUUGCUCCAGGUGAAAUCACCUGAGAGAAUUGCCCCCGCCCUCUUCUCAGGAGGGGGCGGAGUCACAUCAGGGGACGUAACACAUCUAAUAACUAUUUAAAUUUCAGAAUAUACAUAAUAUCCAAUCAUAUUAUGUAUGUUCUGAAAUUGUCCAGAUAAGAUAAUAUCUUAAUAGCUACUGUUAAAUUAUACUCAUUUUUAAAACAGUAGCAUUCUCAUGCAGGGACACCAAAAGGAGAACACAGAAGUUCAAGAUCUCCUUGGAUAAUUUGAUGAGUAAUCUGUGGUGAGUCAUAUGCUGAGACCAUGAAGAAGUCACUCAAAAGGAGGCUUGGUUGAUAUAUUAUUUUAUGUGUGUUUUGUAAUGCAAUUAAAUCCCUUCUCAUACAUCCCUCCACAUCCAUACGUCAUUUUAGAAUACAAGGGGGCCCAAAACAGAACCUUGUUGGACUCCUUGUACUACAGGAUUGAGAGAGUGGUUCCUGCAAUGACAGUGAACAGUAGUGUAGUUUCCUGCUAUGAUCAGAUAUUUCUCCAUGCUGACGAGUAGGGUGGGUGUCCGACUGCGAGGGAGGAUACACUUAGAUCCAUUAGGAUCCAAACGCUGACAGCUCUAGGGUCAGGAGGUCAUUGGUUACCCUGAGUAGUACGUUUCGAUAGAGGCCAGGGUGUGAGUUAUUUAUGAUGGUGAUAAUGUAUGUGCAGACUGCAGGCAGUGAUGGCCCGUCAGGUCCAGUUAAGCCUUCUCUGCUGGCCUAAAAAGAAUCCCAAAGUUAUUGUUUUAUCCAAUCAGAUUCAGCCCUCUAUGUAAAAGAGGCCAGCGGUCCUCUAGAUAGCUUUGUAGGUUAAAGUGUAUGGGCACAGUCGUCUUUAUUGUCAUAGUCUUUAACCAAUCAGGUCUUUAGGUUGGCUUGUUGGGUGUAUUUUUUCACAGCCCAGCAGUAGUAAGGUAGCCUCCUAAGUACGCCUGGAUCAACGUACAGCGCAGCGUUGACGUGCGCUGUGAUUGGUCAGUGAGUGAACAGAAAGCUAGCUGGCAGGUCUUUGUAUUUAGUAAGAGUUCAGGAUGAGCUUUGUCUGUAAAUAGUGAACAGCAUUUGAUAAGUGAACGGCUUUCGUGUUUUUACAUCUACACUAGGAUUUAAAUUUGUCCAUCGUAUUGUUUUAAUUAGAAAGUAACAUUGUUCCCUUUGAUGGAAAUAUUUGAAUAACCCAUGUGUAAAGGAUCUCGGGCGGCAGGAGGAGACUCAAGCACAGAUUUAAUCAACAAAGGGAGCAGGGUAGUCGUAUCCAGUAAACAGGCAAGAGGUCAACAUCCUGGAGCAGGUAGAUUGGAAAAGGUCCCGACAAGGAUCAGGCAGGAAGCAACGAGGUCUGGAACAAACAAGGAGUCUUGAACAAGAGGUCAAACAGGAGAUCAGCAUAAAGCUCAGCAUGUGAUGGUAAACUACAGACUUCGCAAGGAACGCAAAGGAAUCAGGGGUAUAUAUACAGACCAGCUUGAUGGAUAACCAGACACAGGUGUGUAGGGAUAAGUGGGCGUGCAGAUAGACAGACCCAAAACGGAACAAACCAACGAUACAGUAAACGGGGGGGAAUUUGGGGUCCAGAUUUGAAGGCCUCAGUACUCAGGGGAAGAGGAGUGCUGGAUCGUGACACCUUGCUCUUGACUGUGCCCUGUUUUGUAUGGGGCGCCGUUAGUAAAAUGUUGCACGUUCUAAAAUCCUGCGCAGUUUUGCUACAUUUAACAUAUUAACAAAAAAGCACGUGAUAAAUAUUCAAUGUUACAUCUAAAUGUUAAAUGUACAGUAUAUCUAAAUGUUAAAUGUUCACUCAUACAUAUCAGACUUGACGAGAACAUCUUUACGGUAAAACAAGCUGGCAAGUCUGGAUGAAUUAGCUCUUGUUAUAGAGCGGGGGUGUCAAACUCAUUUUAGGUACGGGGCCACAUACUGUCCCCAUUGAAGUCAUGCGGGGGGUUCACGGGUGCGCAACCCCCCCUUUGAUCGGACCAUUGCCGUUGACCGCGCCCCUCCGCGCCCGUGCCCCUCCCCCUUCACCGUUGCGGUUACCGUCAAAUUACAUUUAAAUUUAGAUUUAACAUUUAGAUUUACAUUUAACAUUUAGUGUCAGGGGAUGCGUGGGAAGGCAGGACUCAAAUGCAGAGUUUUAAAGCAAAAACUUUAAUAGUCAAAAGGGCAAAGCAAAGGCCAACGGGCAAAAACACAGGAACGGGGGGGGGGGGCAAAAGGGCAGGCAGGGACGAGAGGCAUGCAGGACGAUUGCGAGGGACCAUCCGGGACAAUAGACAGUGACGCCACCAGUGACAAACAACACACACUGCUUAAAUACACAAGGGAGGUGCAGGUGAUUGGACACAGGUGGAAACAAUCAGACAAUCACAGGGGACGACAGGACAAGGCAGGAAGUGAAGUUACCCGGGGAGACAAGAAGCAGAAAACUACAAAAUAAGACAGGAAAUAAAACCACACCGUGACAGUUGUAAGUCAGCAGCGAUGUUUGUUGCCAGUUUCACAACUGCUCACUCGUACGAGUUCAUGGUCUUUCUUUCCUAGAGCUGUUGCGUGCAUGCUGGCACGUCGGCCCCACAUGCUGUCAUUCCAUAUUUUAUUUUAUGGAGUCUAUUGCACAGGUUUCAAUGUGUAUUUUCCAGCAAAGCGGUUCGUCUAUGUGGACACCAUAAUAUUUGUAAAAGGAUGCCCGCGUGGGUGUCUGGUCUUGGAUGAUCACUGACUAAUCAUCAAUUGCCUCGGGUCUGGUCUCCUGUAUUUUGUGGCAUUCAUGUGAUGGUCAGUGUCACAUGUCCUUUCAAGAAACAUUUCACUUAAUGAACGCGUCUUUUUCAUCAUGGUACACAAAGUGGCACUGGAGAAGGCUCCAGAUCGCAGUGAAUCGUCAUUGAAGCUAUCAGGGUGGUGAAGUUGGUAGAAGCUUACUCGGUGUCAAAUAGCAUGCAACGAAUGACAAAUAUAGAGUGAAAACGCAAGGGAAAAAAGACAGGACCAAAACCCAAACAUGGACAUAUGGAGAAACUGAUAUCCAUCCUCAGUUGACGUACAUGGGAACUAUGAACUAUAAAUAAAUCCCUUCCUGUAAAUAGUAGAUGGCAUCUGCCUGUGUGCUUUUAUGCUGUUGUAUGGUGCUAAUUCCAGCGAAAUUAGAGUACAAUAACAACACAAAUCGCCUGUCGGCUAAACGUGAGAUAGUCUCAUGUGAGACUGCAAGACAAAAACGUCACAGCGAGGCGACAGGGGGGUCUCAUGCGGGGCAGUUGGACAUGCUAUUGAGUGACCCUUUGCCCGCUCGGGUCUUAUUUCAUGCAAAGCCCCGCUGCGCCGUGGCCUCCCACGAGUGUCUGAGGGUGCUCGCCGAGCAUCGGAGAGCAACAAUGAUUAAUGCGGUUAUAAAACCAGGCGGCCGACUUUUAAGUCUUGCGGUAGAUCAUCCAGUGAGGGAGCUUCACCACGCGCACUGGAGCAACUCAGAACCAGGAGCUGUGAGGAGAGCAUCAAACAAACAAAAUCUCCAAUAAAACUUUGAUGACCUCUCGCCUUCACAAAAAAAAGAAGAAGAAAAAUCCCGUCCUCCGACUCGGCUAUGAAGAUCCUAAAAUCAUAAAAGUGUGAUACGGCCGAGGUAAUAUUUGCUUUCUGUCAUACACGGUACUGCUGGUUUCAUAUCAGAGGUUUGAUUGCUAUUUCUAUUUUAGGGGGAUAAUAAGAAUUUGACGUGAAAUGGAUAGAAUGUGUGAGUAUUGGUUAGUGUGGACGUGUGGACCCAAUGGCUGGUGAUUUACUCUACUUAGCGCCCUCACAUUCAGCGCAGCAGCAGACUGUACAUGUUAAGGGGUGGUAGCUAUUUAUGGCAAACAAUUAACGCAACAAAGCAAACACACAUUGGUGUAAAGGCAGAUGCCUGAGAGACAUAUUAUUAUUAUCUGGGUGUACUUACGGAUUUGGACAUCAACGCGGAACAGUUACAAAAUCAGCCGACUAUCACCCAAAGGAUGUAUUAAGGGUUAGAGGGCUUAUGUCUCAACAAGAUUUGGAAAAAUCGGUGCAUGCAUUAAUAUACACAAAGUGUCAAUCAGAAAGCUACAGCUGAUCCAGAACGCUGCAGCUGGAGUCCUCACUGGGACCAGGAUGGGGGAAAGUGGAUCACAUAACUCUAGUCCGCAGGUCUUUAUGCUGGCUUCCUGUCAAAGGGUUGACUUACAACAUCCUGCAGUUGUUUUAUGAACUGAGUGGUUUAGUGGCAAAGUACGUUUCUGAUUUGACUUUCUGUUCCCAGAGUCAAAACUAAAACACGGAGAAGCAGCGUUCAGUUUUUCUGCUCCACAUAUCUGGAACAAAGUCCCUCAGCUGCUUUAAAUCCACACUUUUCUAUUUGCUGCUGCCUUUAAUUUACCAUUUUGGAUGUUUUGGUACUCCUAAACUGCACUGCCCUUUUUAUGCAGUUUUUUAAAAGUUUGUGCCAGUCACUCAAUCAGUAUAAUCGAAAUAAGAAGAUAAGAUGCAUAGUGGUUGCCUUGUAAAAAUAAGCCUUUUCCUACAAAACGAGCGUGUCCUCUUCACAAGGUUUGUUUCUAAUGUGCUUCAGAGUAAACACACCAAACACACAGAUAGGCCAUUUGAUAUGUGACUCUGAGAGCUAUUUCCCAAAUAUUCCUGCUCCCAGAUAAUGACUAGCAGUCGGAUACAAAUAGGCCCAUUUCUUAUACCUUUGAAAAGGGACACCCAUAUCCAUCAUGGUUCCAAUUGAGAAAUAAACUGUAGUCUUCAAUUGAAUUUAUUUUGGAUAGGCCAAAAUCACAAAUUACAAGUUUGCCUCAGAGUGCUUUACAAUCUGAACAAAUAGCAGAAACCUACCUACAUUAGCCCAGGAAAACUCCCCAGCCAAAAAAAAACCUUUAACAGGGACAUUGAAAGGUCUUAUUUAUCCAGUAUCAUGCUCACUACUUACUGCAUCACUGUGCCAAUACUCACACACUGCACUGUAGAUAUUGGAUUUAGCGUGGAGUCGACGUUCAUAUUACAUGCGGUUCAAGGGGGUAUCUGAUUAGAUUGAUAUCCAAUUAAUGGAAAUGUUAAUGCUAAUCCCUGCUCUUUUCUUUUUUUAUCCAUCCAUGCCUAUGUAUGUCUCUGGUAUUGAUUGGAAGUCUGGACUAAAAUAGAACUGGUGAUGAUUUUGCUAUUUACUUUAAUAUUUCCAUUCAUAAUGAUGCCCCUCCCCCUUCCCCUUCUUCUUCUUCUUUCUGUUGCCUGUCCAUCUCCGAGGCGUCACGCAAUACAAUUAUUUGUUCGAACACAAAGCCUCAGCAAGAAGGGUUGUAUUUUGAAUGAAUUGAUCAUUUUCUUUCGCUGUGGGGCGAGUAUCACAGCACGUCAGCAUGGAAACAAGUCCCUCUGCAAGGGAAGCUCGGGUGCCGCUUUCCUGCUGCUUUCUCGUGCAGGUUGUUUACACACCUGAAUAAGUCGAGCAGUGCAGAUUUCACUUCCUGUAUAGGAAGAGCAGUGACACGCUGAUGCACACAGGAACCGCUUUGCCUGUUAUCCAAUGCCAAGUAAUCUGCAGCUACAAAGUGUCUCGUUGCUCCACGUAUUGGAUUCACGUGGGCCGGUAUUGACAGUGACAUACGAGGCCUGGGCGUCUCUUUGUGUGUGUGUGUGUGUGUGUGUGUGCGUGUUUGUGUGUGUGUGUGUGGAGCCAGAGCUGGAGUGUACUAACACUACACCUUCCUCUCGGAUUCUGCUCUGCGUUCCAGGCGUGCUCACCGGGGAGGGGGCGGGGGGGGGUCCCGUCUUCAAAGGACAUUUUUGAAGUAUGUACGUAGUCGCCAUUACAUCAAAGCGAGUCCAUCAAUUAUGAUUUCAGAAGCACAAAUUAACAGGCAUUAACCAACACGUCACCGCCACACAAAUGGUGAAUUGUGGGAUUUGUGUACAGCAGCAUGCAUGUUAGAGGAACCUGGGUGUAGAACACCCCCCCCCCCCCC
ensembl:lncRNA